rnacentral:rRNA from 2 species
GGAAACAGGUGCUAAUACCGUAUAACAACAAAAUCCGCAUGGAUUUUGUUUGAAAGGUGGCUUCGGCUAUCACUUCUGGAUGAUCCCGCGGCGUAUUAGUUAGUUGGUGAGGUAAAGGCCCACCAAGACGAUGAUACGUAGCCGACCUGAGAGGGUAAUCGGCCACAUUGGGACUGAGACACGGCCCAAACUCCUACGGGAGGCAGCAGUAGGGAAUCUUCCACAAUGGACGAAAGUCUGAUGGAGCAAUGCCGCGUGAGUGAAGAAGGGUUUCGGCUCGUAAAACUCUGUUGUUAAAGAAGAACACCUUUGAGAGUAACUGUUCAAGGGUUGACGGUAUUUAACCAGAAAGCCACGGCUAACUACGUGCCAGCAGCCGCGGUAAUACGUAGGUGGCAAGCGUUGUCCGGAUUUAUUGGGCGUAAAGCGAGCGCAGGCGGUUUUUUAAGUCUGAUGUGAAAGCCUUCGGCUUAACCGGAGAAGUGCAUCGGAAACUGGGAGACUUGAGUGCAGAAGAGGACAGUGGAACUCCAUGUGUAACGAUGGAAUGCGUAGAUAUAUGGAAGAACACCAGUGGCGAAGGCGGCUGUCUAGUCUGUAACUGACGCUGAGGCUCGAAAGCAUGGGUAGCGAACAGGAUUAGAUACCCUGGUAGUCCAUGCCGUAAACGAUGAGUGCUAAGUGUUGGAGGGUUUCCGCCCUUCAGUGCUGCAGCUAACGCAUUAAGCACUCCGCCUGGGGAGUACGACCGCAAGGUUGAAACUCAAAGGAAUUGACGGGGGCCCGCACAAGCGGUGGAGCAUGUGGUUUAAUUCGAAGCUACGCGAAGAACCUUACCAGGUCUUGACAUCUUCUGCCAAUCUUAGAGAUAAGACGUUCCCUUCGGGGACAGAAUGACAGGUGGUGCAUGGUUGUCGUCAGCUCGUGUCGUGAGAUGUUGGGUUAAGUCCCGCAACGAGCGCAACCCUUAUUAUCAGUUGCCAGCAUUCAGUUGGGCACUCUGGUGAGACUGCCGGUGACAAACCGGAGGAAGGUGGGGAUGACGUCAAAUCAUCAUGCCCCUUAUGACCUGGGCUACACACCUGCUACAAUGGACGGUACAACGAGUCGCGAAGUCGUGAGGGUAAGCUAAUCUCUUAAAGCCGUUCUCAGUUCGGAUUGUAGGCUGCAACUCGCCUACAUGAAGUUGGAAUCGCUAGUAAUCGCGGAUCAGCAUGCCGCGGUGAAUACGUUUCCGGGCCUUGU